AGCUCCAAUAGCGUAUAUUUAAGUUGUUGCAGUUAAAAAGCUCGUAGUUGGAUUUCGGGUGGGUUCCAGCGGUCCGGCUCUGCUGUGUACUGCUGGGGCCUACCUUUCUGCCGGGGACGGGCUCCUGGGCGUCAAAACCCGGGACUCGGAGUCGGCGAGGUUACUUUGAGUAAAUUAGAGUGUUCAAAGCAGGCCUACGCUCUGAAUACAUUAGCAUGGAAUAACGCGAUAGGACUCUGGCCUAUCUUGUUGGUCUGUGGGACCGGAGUAAUGAUUAAGAGGCGUGGUCGGGGGCAUCCGUAUUGCGUUGUCAGAGGUGAAAUUCUUGGAUUUACGCAAGACGAACCGCUGCGAAAGCGCUUGCCAAGGACGCGGCCA
rnacentral:rRNA from 1 species